GACGUAGGAGGCGAGCGUUGUCCGGAGUUACUGGGCGUAAAGCGCGCGCAGGCGGCCCUGUGCGCUGCCGGUGAAAGCUCCCGGCUUACCUGGGAGAGGUUCGGCAGGACGGCAGGGCUGGAGGGUGGGAGAGGUCGGUGGAAUUCCCGGUGUAGUGGUGAAAUGCGUAGAGAUCGGGAGGAACACCCGUAGCGAAGGCGGCCGACUGGACCACACCUGACGCUGAGGCGCGAAGGCCAGGGGAGCAAACGGG
rnacentral:rRNA from 1 species